rnacentral:rRNA from 1 species
UACGAAGGGUGCAAACGUUGCUCGGAAUCAUUGGGCGUAAAGCGCUCGUAGGCGGCUUCGCAAGUCGGAUGUGAAAUCCCUCGGCUCAACCGAGGACGUGCAUACGAAACUGCGGAGCUUGAGUGCUGAAGAGGAUCGCGGAAUUCCCGGUGUAGAGGUGAAAUUCGUAGAUAUCGGGAGGAACACCAGUGGCGAAGGCGGCGAUCUGGGCAGACACUGACGCUGAGGUGCGAAAGCCAGGGGAGCAAACGGG